ACGUAGGGGACGAGCGUUAUCCGGAUUUACUGGGCGUAAAGCGCAUGUAGGUGGCCUUUCAAGUUGGACGUGAAAGCUCCCAGGCUUAACCGGGAGAGGACGUGCGAGACUGUCGGACUAGAGGCAGGUAGAGGCAAGUGGAAUUCCGGGUGUAGUGGUGAAAUGCGUAGAGAUCCGGAGGAACCCCGGUGGCGAAGGCGACUUGCUGGGCCUGAACUGACGCUCAGACGCGAAAGCAUGGGGAGCGAACGG
rnacentral:rRNA from 1 species